rnacentral:rRNA from 1 species
UACGGAGGGUGCGAGCGUUGCUCGGAAUUACUGGGCGUAAAGCGCGCGUAGGCGGCUUUGCAAGUCGGGUGUGAAAUCCCCAGGCUUAACCUGGGAACUGCAUUCGAGACUGCAGUGCUAGAGUAUGGGAGAGGGAAGUGGAAUUUCCGGUGUAGCGGUGAAAUGCGUAGAUAUCGGAAGGAACACCAGUGGCGAAAGCGACUUCCUGGACCAAUACUGACGCUCAUGUGCGAAAGCGUGGGGAGCAAACAGG